UGCCCGUGGCGGGGGGAUAAGCGGGGGAAACCCCGUCUAAUACCGCGUAACGCGGCCUAGGGACAUCCCAAGGCCGCCAAAGGGAGCAAUCCCGGCCACGGAUGGGCAUGCGGCGCAUUAGCUAGUCGGCGGGGUAACGGCCCACCGAGGCGACGAUGCGUAGGGGUUCUGAGAGGAAGGCCCCCCACACUGGUACUGAGACACGGACCAGACUCCUACGGGAGGCAGCAGUGAGGAAUAUUGGUCAAUGGGCGCGAGCCUGAACCAGCCAAGUCGCGUGAGGGAGGACGGCCCUACGGGUUGUAAACCUCUUUUGCCGGGGAGCAACGGGCGCCACGUGUGGCGCCACUGAGAGUACCCGGAGAAAAAGCAUCGGCUAACUCCGUGCCAGCAGCCGCGGUAAUACGGAGGAUGCGAGCGUUAUCCGGAUUUAUUGGGUUUAAAGGGUGCGUAGGCGGAUCGUUAAGUCAGUGGUCAAAUUGAGGGGCUCAACCCCUUCCCGCCAUUGAAACUGGCGCUCUUGAGUGGAAGAGAAGUAUGCGGAAUGCGUGGUGUAGCGGUGAAAUGCAUAGAUAUCACGCAGAACCCCGAUUGCGAAGGCAGCAUGCCGGCUUCCUACUGACGCUGAAGCACGAAAGCGUGGGGAUCGAACAGGAUUAGAUACCCUGGUAGUCCACGCGGUAAACGAUGAGCGCUAGGUGUC
rnacentral:rRNA from 1 species